AAACCUACCAAGCAUGCCUAUUUUGGGGGCCCAAAAAACAAGCUUAAGCCAAGAACUUUAGCAAGAGCAUUUUUCCAUCACUAUUCAGACAACUUGCAUUGGCUCACAACAUCCUUUUCACAUUUCCAGUGUAGCAUGGCAACAUAUUAAACAGACAGCAGUGAGAGCGAUGGCAGUGUGGAGAGAAGUAAAGAGGUAUUUAGAAAAAGCUUGCUAAAGGAACAGAGAUAUAAAUAUUUCUAAUGAGCUUCAGAAAUUGUCUACAGAGUGGCACUACAAGGAAGUGUUGCAGUCUGUUCCUUUCUAAAGAACUAUGGAUGGAUUUUGUUUAAAGGAAUGAAGACAGAAAUGUGUUUGUGCUCUCUGCUGCAUAUAGACAGCUCAGGAUCUGGAAUUGUUAAUACCAUGUUGAGCACACCUUGAGCACGUAUUUGUAUGCAAGUGCCAAAAUAUGUUGAUAUUGGCGUUCAGAAAGAAUGAAGAGCCUGAAGAAUGAACGCAGUGAAAAUGAACACAGCGAAGGAAAAAGGAUUAAAUGGGAUGACAGUAAGGUUUUGAGCAAUGCUUUUAGAGUGCUUCAAAGGAGGAAACCAAGAAAGACCUGCUGAUGAGACAUGGCAAGUACAUAUACAUCACCUUCCUACAGGUCUAAGAUAUGAGGUCAAAUUAGUCGAAGAUAUGUGGGCAGCAAGUCUCAUACAAAUACCUUGAGAUGGUAUUGAUCUCUAUAGAACUUCAAAAUAAAGAACAGCAGAAGCAAAUGUUACACUUGCU
ensembl:lncRNA